rnacentral:lncRNA from 1 species
UACCAUUCAGAAAAUGGUUAUUAUAUAGAGCCUGAUGGGGUUUUGCCUUGGGAGGUUCAUGGAUGCAUUUUGUCCCUUAAGAGACAUGCCUGCUCAUGCAGGGCAGUUCUGGGCUGGAAGAGUUCAGUGAAACCUUCCCUGCCACAGCACCAAGGGGCCUCUUUGUUAGUGGAUGAUUAGUGUUGAUUAGCAGGGUGAUGACAACCCUAAUUAGACUCUGAGGAAACCUGAGGAGCAAAACUUUGCAGCUGAGUUACAAAGCUGGACUAAUUAGGAGGGCACUGCAGCACAUUAGGACAGUACUCUGCUGUCUGGGUAAAAAUGGCUGCUUGCUGCUGUAGCUCCUGAUUUGUGUGGUUUUUAAUGAAGAUGUUCUUAAUGAGGAACAAAAUUUUCCUCCUGUAGGGAUUUCCUUGGUUUUGGGAGGAGAAGGACAGCAGAUGUCAGAAGAUGCAGCCAACCCUACCUGCGUGUGCUCUGCUCCUAUGGCUGGCAUGACAGAGAAGUUCAGCAGAAUGAACGCUAGCAAGCCAGUGAUUAAGUGCUCUCAAGAGAUCUAAAUAAGGUGCCAGUGUUUCCGCAGCUUACCAAAUAAGAAGCCUGAGCCUUGGUGACUGAGACGGGUCGUCUUCCUUUCUGUCAGUGAAACCUCAAUGUCAGGAAGAUGGAAUGCCUCUGGGCCAGGUUCUGGUUUAUGUGACAAUGGGAGCUCUGGAAUCAGAAAAGCUCUGCUUGAAUAUGACAUUUGUCCUUUAAUUAUCUUAAAUGGUGACUAUAAGUCUCUGUGUAUAUCAUAGGGCAGUGUUAUUUAAAAUUCAAAUAACGGAAUUCUGCUGAGUGCAAU